GUAUGCUUGUGUGCAUAAAGCCACUGUGCUGCUGCAAUAGCAGCGCUCUAAAUGAGACCCGACCUCCCAGAGCACCUGCCCUGCUCUGUGCCCUUCUGGUCCCCACCUGGGGAUGGAAAAGCUGCAGGAGGCCGGUUUGCCAGAGCAGAAAGGUGGCCAAUCCCCAGCCAGCCAAGAGGACAUAACCCAUGGGUGAUGCAAUGAUGGACCAUGGUGUGGCCAUUAACCAGCAGAAAGAAAAGCAAGGACUUGUUUUGAUUGCAAGGAUGGAGAAGAUGUAUUAUACAUGGGUUUAGAGACCUUGCAGAACCAUUUGUCCAUUUCACUGAGAGCCACGGAGGAGUAAGAUGCUCUGGACAGCUCAGAGCACGAGCUGUAAAACAUGAACACCUUGUUGGAUCACACUCUGAAAUCUGAAAUGGGCAUCCUGCCAAGGCUCAGGGCUUCCUUUUUGUUUUGACUGUUGCAAUGUUCUUGUUUCUGUUAGUAUCACGUUCCUAGCACUUGUGCUUUUCAGACACCUACGGCCAAACAGCGUAACUCCACUGAGCCCACUGAAGCUGCAACAGACGUGAAUUUGUCUCAGUAUGUCUGUAAAUUAACCAGUCAUUUAAGCUGGAGAGUGACAUUGAUAAGCAAUAACCGCAGAGGAGUGGUGAAAGGAAGAUAUCUCCUAGUUAGUUUUGGACAGUUGACACUAACUGCGUUGUCAGAUAAGUCUUACUGACUGUGGGAAAAGCUGAGUGGGAAAAGUCACACUCGCCGCCUGCUAACCGUAGGAGGAAAACAGAUCUGGAAUGCAGAGGAAAUCUUGACAUUAUCUGUUCCCCCAACCCCUACCAGCCAGGCAAUCAAAAUAACUAGCUGAGUAUCAGCUGCCUCUGUUCCUGCCCCAAAUAAAGGUGCUUUCUUGACAGAGCUUUUGCUCACAGGAGAGCAGGCAAAGAGAAGAAGUCUGAAGUGGGUGUGGGGGAGUGCUUCCUGCCAGAACCCAGGAGCAGCUUCUCUGUGACAUCUAAAAGAAUACUGAUGACAUAAACCUAGUGCUGUAAACAGAGGUGGCUCUGCCAUUUCCAAAGGACAGCAAUUCAUGCCUGACAGCCCUGCAGCCCAGAACUCCUGUACUCCAUUGCUCCACUUGGCUUCCAUUGACAUCACCAAGGACACUGUGCCAGGCUCUGCUACAAGAAGGAUCAAACCCAAGGGAACAAAACCACUGGAAAGAACUCCUCUCUUCCCAUCCAAAUUUUGUUGUUUAAGAAUAAAGUGUAGCUGUUUCAAAUGAA